AUUGAACGCUGGCGGCAGGCCUAACACAUGCAAGUCGAGCGGAGCGGCGGACGGGUGAGUAAUGCCUAGGAAUCUGCCUGGUAGUGGGGGAUAACGUCCGGAAACGGGCGCUAAUACCGCAUACUAUCAGAUGAGCCUAGGCCGGAUGAGCUAGUUUGUGGGGUAAGGGCCUACCAAGGCGACGAUCCGUAAAUGGUCUGAGAGGAUGAGCAGUCACACUGUAACUGAGACACGGUCCAGACUCCUACGGGAGGCAGCAGUGGGGAAUAUUGGACAAUGGUCGAAAGUCUGAUCCAGCCAUGCCGCGUGUGUGAAGAAGGCCUUCGGAUUGUAAAGCACUUUAAGUUGGGAGGCGUUACCAACAGAAUAAGCACCGGCUAACUUCGUGCCAGCCGCCGCGGUAAUAC
rnacentral:rRNA from 1 species